AUGCGAUACUUGGUGUGAAUUGCAGAAUUCAGUGAAUUAUCGGAAUCUUUGAACGCACCUUGCGCUCCUUGGUAUUCCGAGGAGCAUGCCUGUUUGAGUGUCAUGGUAUUCUCAACCCACACAUCCUUGUGAUGUUCGUUGGGCUUGGACUUGGAGGCUUGCUGGCCGUCGCGGUCGGCUCCUCUUGAAUGCAUUAGCUUGGUUCCUUGCGGAUCGGCUCUCAGUGUGAUAAUUGUCUACGCUGUGACCGUGAAGCGUUUGGCGAGCUUCUAACCGUCCUGCUAGGGACAAACUUACUUGACAUCUGACCUCAAAUCAGGUAGGACUUUCGCCAGCUGAACUUAAGCAUAUCAAUAAGGCGGAGGAA
rnacentral:rRNA from 1 species